AAGACUUGGAACCGUGUCAGCAUAAAACUGAAGAAAUUCAUAAUGAAAGUGAAGACGAAGAUGAUGAGUUGAUCUUUGUUGGAGAGACAUCAAUGUUGAAACCUGACAUUCCAAAUGUUUUGAAGACAUGUCUCCCCAACUCAUCUUCAGAGGAAGAAAAGGGUGACUUACUCAAUCCAGCUAUUUCUAAUAUAUUCAAGACUACAAAUCAACACUACAGAAAUCCAUCACCUAAUCCAGUGGUUGCUUUGCCAAGCUUUGAUCCUGAACCAAA